rnacentral:rRNA from 1 species
UAGGGAAUAUUGGGCAAUGGAGGGAACUCUGACCCAGCCAUGCCGCGUGCAGGAUGAAGGCGUUAUGCGUUGUAAACUGCUUUUUAUAUAGGAAGAAAUAGUCCUUGCGAGGAAAGUUGACGGUACUAUAUGAAUAAGCACCGGCUAACUCCGUGCCAGCAGCCGCGGUAAUACGGAGGGUGCAAGCGUUGUCCGGAUUUAUUGGGUUUAAAGGGUGCGUAGGCGGUUUAUUAAGUCAGUGGUGAAAGACGGUCGCUCAACGAUUGCAGUGCCAUUGAUACUGGUAGACUUGAGUAUGAUUGAGGUAGCUGGAAUGGAUAGUGUAGCGGUGAAAUGCAUAGAUAUUAUCCAGAACACCAAUUGCGUAGGCAAGUUACUAAGUCAUAACUGACGCUGAGGCACGAAAGCGUGGGGAGCAAACAGGAUUAGAUACCCUCGUAGUCCCUGAGCGGGCUGGCAAGGCGCAU